rnacentral:rRNA from 1 species
UACGUAGGGUGCAAGCGUUAAUCGGAAUACUGGGCGUAAAGCGUGCGCAGGCGGUUUUGUAGGUCUGUCGUGAAAUCCCCGGGCUCAACCUGGGAAUUGCGAUGGAGACUGCAAGGCUAGAAUCUGGCAGAGGGGGGUAGAAUUCCACGUGUGAGCAGUGAAAUGCGUAGAGAUGUGGAGGAACACCGAUGGCGAAGGCAGCCCCCUGGGUCAAGAUUGACGCUCAUGCACGAAAGCGUGGGGAGCAAACGAGGAU